rnacentral:rRNA from 1 species
GAGUUUGAUCAUGGCUCAGAUUGAACGCUGGCGGCAUGCUUUACACAUGCAAGUCGGACGGCAGCACAGAGAAGCUUGCUUCUUGGGUGGCGAGUGGCGAACGGGUGAGUAACGCAUCGGAACGUACCGAGUAGUGGGGGAUAACUGUCCGAAAGGAUGGCUAAUACCGCAUACGCUUUGAGAAGGAAAGCGGGGGAUCUUCGGACCUCGCGCUAUUCGAGCGGCCGAUGUCUGAUUAGCUAGUUGGUGGGGUAAAGGCCUACCAAGGCGACGAUCAGUAGCGGGUCUGAGAGGAUGAUCCGCCACACUGGGACUGAGACACGGCCCAGACUCCUACGGGAGGCAGCAGUGGGGAAUUUUGGACAAUGGGCGCAAGCCUGAUCCAGCCAUGCCGCGUGUCUGAAGAAGGCCUUCGGGUUGUAAAGGACUUUUGUCAGGGAAGAAAAGCUUUGGGUUAAUACCCU